CAGUCGCCACGGGAAUACGUAGGUGGCAAGCGUUGUCCGGAAUUAUUGGGCGUAAAGGGCUCGCAGGCGGUUCCUUAAGUCUGAUGUGAAAGCCCCCGGCUCAACCGGGGAGAGUCAUUGGAAACUGGGAAACUUGAGUGCAGAAGAGGAGAGUGGAAUUCCACGCGUAGCGGUGAAAUGCGUAGAGAUGUGGAGGAACACCAGUGGCGAAGGCGACUCUCUGGUCUGUAACUGACGCUGAGGAGCGAAAGCGUGGGGAGCGUACAGGAUUAGAUACCCCUGUAGUCCCUGUCUCUUAUAC
rnacentral:rRNA from 1 species